GCUAAACGCGAAGAACCUUACCCAGACUUGACAUCCUUGGAAGGCCUCCGAAAGGAGACUGUGCCUUCGGGAACCAAGUGACAGGUGUUGCAUGGCCGUCGUCAGCUCGUGUCGUGAGAUGUUUGGUUAAGUCCAUCAACGAGCGCAACCCUUAUAGUUAGUUGAAUUUUUCUAGCUAGACUGCCCUGGCAACAGGGAGGAAGGAGGGGAUGAUGUCAGGUCAGUAUUACCCUUACGUCUGGGGCUACAAACGCGCUACAAUGGCCGGUACAAAGGGCAGCCAACCCGCGAGGGGGAGCAAAUCCCAUCAAAACCGGUCCCAGUUCGGAUAGCAGGCUGAAAUUCGCCUGCUUGAAGUCGGAAUCGCUAGUAACGGUGAGUCAGCUAUAUUACCGUGAAUACGUUCCCGGGUCUUGUACACACCG
rnacentral:rRNA from 1 species